rnacentral:rRNA from 1 species
GGGACCCGCACAAGCGGUGGAUGAUGUGGUUUAAUUCGAUGCAACGCGAAAACCUUACCCACCUUUGACAUGUACGGAAUCCUUUAGAGAUAGAGGAGUGCUCGAAAGAGAGCCGUAACACAGGUGCUGCAUGGCUGUCGUCAGCUCGUGUCGUGAGAUGUUGGGUUAAGUCCCGCAACGAGCGCAACCCUUGUCAUUAGUUGCUACGAAAGGGCACUCUAAUGAGACUGCCGGUGACAAACCGGAGGAAGGUGGGGAUGACGUCAAGUCCUCAUGGCCCUUAUAGGUGGGGCUACACACGUCAUACAAUGGCUGGUACAAAGGGUUGCCAACCCGCGAGGGGGAGCCAAUCCCAUAAAGCCAGUCGUAGUCCGGAUCGCAGUCUGCAACUCGACUGCGUGAAGUCGGAAUCGCUAGUAAUCGUGGAUCAGCAUGUCACGGUGAAUACGUUCCCGGGUCUU